ensembl:lncRNA
GCACUGUGAGCGGAGGCUUACAGCAAAGCUGCCUUAUCCACAGCAUUACAGACUCUAAGAAAGGAUUUAUUUUUAAUUCUCGAUUAGAUAGAAUGUCUCUGCUAGACGAAAGUAGAAAGAACACACACACACUCACAUUAGUGUGAUCAUCAUCAGCCUCUGAUCACACACACAGCACACAGAGAGAGAGAGAGAGAGAGAGAGAGAGCAGGAGGAACGCGCUUUCCACCUCCAGAUGCAUCUCUGAGGCACACACACAGCGUCAGGAGGCGAUGCUGCUCCCUCUCUGACAGACCCUGGAGUUGCACUGGAUCUCAGAUGCGCUUGGAGCUCGAGCGGACGGUCACUGAUGACUUCACACGCGCUGCUGCUCUACGGGCUCGGGUUCACUUUAGCAUCGGCACUGCUUUCCACACAGGUCGCCGGCCUGCAGUGUUACGGCUGUAACGUCUUCCACGGACAGAAGUAUGUGGACGUGGGCUGCACUAAUCCAGAGGUCAUCACGUGCACACACUCGCACAAGGGCUUCAAGCAUCGCUUCUGCAUCAGGACCGAGAGCACGGCGCUGGGCAUCGUCCUCACCAGUGGCUGUGCCACCUCACGCCACUGCCAGCAGCAGGAACUGCCUGGAGUCUCCAUCCACUGCUGCGACUCGGACCUGUGCAACAGCGCCUCCCUCCGGCCACCACAUUCACUGCAGCAUGCACUGCUGCUGCUCGUGCUUGCCCGGAUGUGCUUAUGAUUCACUGCAUGAUGACCUCUGAGAAAGUGAAAGUGGACAGAAUGUUGGUCAGCCAGAUACUCCACACAGCUUCCUGAUGCGAUGCAGAGGCAUCGGCAUCACUCUUCAUGUGUGUUCAUUGUGAUUAUGUGAACAGUUGUUCUAACAGAUGAUAGGUUCUGUUCUGCUGGUUAGCACAGAACUUUACAGUCCUGUUUUGCAUGUACAUAUGUACUAAUUAUAGUAAUUACAAUAACUGGUAAUCAUUAGGCACUAUUACUGAACUGAACCAACUGAUUUAAAUGAAGAUCAUCUUCAUGUUAAAGGUCACCGUUCACGUUCACAGAAAAAACUAAAAUGUACUGUUAAUCUACUACUCAUCCUCAGGCCAUCCAAGAUUUAGGUGAUGUUUGUUCUUUCAAAAAAAAACAAAAACAAAAAAAAACAGUAAAGACACAUUUAAGAUAAAAAUUUGGGCCUUGUUGAUUCAUAAAAUGCAUGUCAAUGACUACUGACAUUUUGAGAGUAAAAAAAAACAAAACGAAAAACCUUUCCGGUCAACACAUAAUACCUGUAGCACCUGAUAAUAUAUUGAAGUCUUAUGAAGUGAAAAGAUCAGUAUGUGCAAGAAACUGAACAUUAUGUACAACAUUAUUACUUGUAAUUCAGAUCGUCAGGCAAAUGGUCCAGAGUAAUGUUCAGUUCACAAACAAAUCAUUCUUUAGAUUUGGUAGUUUUUAGUGAACUAAAUCGGACUUAACUCUCUGUUCAAAGCUCAAGUUACUUAAUCAAAACUUAGACGUCCGACAGUUCAAUUCAAUUCAAGUUUAUUUUAUUGGAUUUACUGACAGUCACUCAGUAAAUCCUUUAAUGAAUGAACUAAUUAUGCGCUUCAGUUCCUCCAACAGUCACCUAACCGAGGAACCGUACCGAAGACUGAUGAGCUGCUGAUAUGAGCGUGUUUGAACUGAGCACUUAAAUGAAGGAGUAAAUUAAAGCUUUUAUGGUUUUUCUUUGUUUAUGCAAAACUGGUGAACUGAUGAAGACUAGUUUAUUCACUUUUUUUCAUGUUUCACAUCAUUAUUGGGUGCUUUAAUAAUAUUAUUGUGUAAACAUGAUUAGAUGUAAACAAUAUGGUAAAUCAGUUAUUUGAACUAGUUCAUUGAAAUAAUCCAUCUGAAAGAUCCAGUUCAUAGAAAAGCAUCAGAUUUCCCCGUUUGUAUAAGGCUAUGGAUUACAGGCAAUUUUGUAAAUAAUAUUCAGUUUCUUGCACAGUCUAAUCAUUUUGCUUCAUAAGACCUCAAUAUAUUGUCAGGAGCCACAGGUAUUAAUUUUGUGUUGCCUGAUAUGCUUUUUUUUUUUUUUUUUUUUUUGAAUUUUUCCAUUUUAUGAAUAGAAGGACCAUGAUUUCAGCUAAAAAUCUUCUUUACUUUUCUACAAAAGAAAAACAGUCACCUAUAUCUUUGAUGUUAAAUUUCCAGUAUAGCAAAUUUUAAUUACUGGGAGAACUAUCCCUUUAAAUCCUUUUUAAGUGUUGCUAAUUUAUAGUAUCUAGUAUACUUUAAGUGCACAUACUGUAAAAUGAAGUGCAGGUGAACUUCGUAUCUUUGUAAAUACUAAUAUUCUGUUGUUGUUCAGUCUGUGAACUUGUCAAGUGUAUAUCAGAAAAAAAGUAUAAACACAAUGUUUGGAAAAAUUUGAUUACCACACAUUUCCACAUAUAUUGUCAUUUAUUUUCCGUGAAUGUGUGCUCAGUAAACAGUAUUUGAUCUUCAUAUAACAGACAGAUUUCAAGGAGUCAAAGUAAAGUGAAUAUGAAUGCAUUUUAAGCAUGCUCUUGCUCUUAUUGACUGUCAUAUCUGUUAAAGAACAAAUUUUUAAAUUGAGUUUAGAAGGAAAUAUAGCCAUCCUUUGUGAUUAUGUUAACUGUUUUUAAAUCAUCUUAAUAAAGAAAAAGUCUGAAGGCUACUGGAAAUAUUUUGCUGUGAAUUCACAUAACUAAUUAAUGUGACAUUACUGAAGUUUUAGAAGGUUUGUGUGUCUGAGGACUAAGCAGAACUAUUAUUUAAAAUUCUAAUAUUUUAAUAUUUCAAAAAUGAGUUCAAUUUUAAAAUUAGAUGAUGUCAUGGCCUGGGAUAACAGAGGACUCAAAUGCAGAGGAGUUUGUGAGAAGAAAGAUCUUUAUUCUCAACAGGAAAAAACACAGAGUAAAAUAAACAAUAAUUAAACACUGUGAACAGGUCACUGGAGAUUCCAGAGCUGGCCGGCAAAGAAUGCAAACCACACAAGCUGCCAGAUCUCCUCUCUACGAGUCAUGAGGAAUAGGCACAACGUGGGUAAGUGAUGGCUUUGCACAACAACACAAGACGGCAGAAUACUGAACAGACAAAACAUUCUACUCAAGACAAAGGACAAGAAAAGCAGAGACAUAUAUGUGGAACAUUGAGAGGCAUAACAAAACAGUAGUGGAUCCAAGUGCAGGCUUUUAUUAGAAUCGUGGUCAAAACAGGCAGCAUUUAACAACAGUAAACAGGUAUAAUCCAGGGUGAGACAAAAGAGUACUCCACAAAACAGGCGAAGGUCAGGGCAGGUAGCAAUAAGACAUCAGAAACAGGAUUGGACAAUGGACUAGCUGGAACCCAGCAUCUCUUCUCUGGACCAUAGCCUUCCCAGUCUACCAGGUAUUAGUGACCUUUACCCCUAAGUCUCACAUCACUUAUCCGCUGAACCGUAAAGGCUGGCAAGGGCCGUGAAGGGACAGACAGUGGCUGGAGUAGCCCUGCUAGGGAUCGAUUGGAGCCCUUACCCGCAGUACAAAUUGGCCAGUCUGACACAAACCAUCAAUCAUUCUGUACCACAUACUGCCACCAAAACCGCUGCUUGAUUAACAUGCACGUACGAGUCACUCCGGGGUGGCAAGCUAGUUCGGAUGAGUGGCCAAACUGUAGAACGCUAGUUAGAAGGUGCAGGGAUAUAUUCUCUUGUCCAAAGAUGAUAUUUGAGACAAAACAGCUCUAACCCCCACAUGGGAUAAAUCCACCUGCACAACGAACUGAUACUGACUAAAAACCUAACAUUGUUCGGGAGGCAGACACACUCUUGCAGUUUAAAUCUAGAUUAAAGACCCAUCUCUUUAAGCUGGCAUACACAUAACAUACUAAUAUGCUUUUAAUAUCCAAAUCCGUUAAAGGAUUUUUAGGCUGCAUUAAUUAGGUAAACUGGAACCGGAAACACUUCACAUAACACCGUACUUUCUACAUCAUUAGAAGAAUGGCAUCUACGCUAAUAUUUGUCUGUUUCUCUCUUGUUCCGAGGUCACCGUGGCCACGAGAUCCAGUCUGUGUCCAGAUCAGAGGGUCACUGCAGUCACCCGGAUCCAGUACGUAUCCAGACCAGAUGGUGGAUCAGCAACUAGAAAGGACCUCUACAUCCCUGAAAGACAGCGGAGACCAGGACAACUAGAGCCCCAGAUACAGAUCCCCUGUAAAGACCUUGUCUCAGAGGAGCACCAGGACAAGACCACAGGAAACAGAUGAUUCUUCUGCACAAUCUGACUUUGCUGCAGCCUGGAAUUGAACUACUGGUUUUCGUCUGGUCAGAGGAGAACUGACCCCCCAACUGAGCCUGGUUUCUCCCAAGGUUUUUUUCUCCAUUCUGUCACCGAUGGAGUUUCGGUUCCUUGCCGCUGUCGCCUCUGGCUUGCUUAGUUGGGGUCACUUCAUCUACAGCGAUAUCAUUGACUUGAUUGCAAAUUAAAACAGACACUAUUUCAACUGAACAGAGAUGACAUCACUGAAUUCAAUGAUGAACUGCCUUUAACUAUAAUUUUGCAUUAUUGAGACACUGUUUUCCUAAUGAAUGUUGUUCAGUGCUUUGACGCAAUGUAUUUUGUUUAAAGCACUAUAUAAAUAAAGGUGAUUGAUUGAUUGAUAAGACUGCUCAGGGGUAUUGAAAAUGGGAGCUGAAACUAAACAACUCUUUAAGUUUACAAACACGGCUUGAGAUGCAUUUACCUUGGUGACAUCCAUUCGGAUACCUUCUGGUAAGAAAAUAAAUCCCAGGAAUGGAACUGAACGUACCUGAACCAAGCACUUCUCCACCUUGGCAAAUAAACAAUUCUGUCACUGGAGCACUUUCCUGACGUGCUGGACAUGAUCGUGCAUGUUAUUAUAGGACAUCAGGAUGUUGUCAAUGUAUACAAAAACAAACUAGUUGACCAUGUCUCUUAGCACGUCAUUGAUGAGUGCCUGGACGACCGCCAGAGAGUUUGAAAGCAUACAGCAUAACCAAACCGAUGUUAUCAUAGGCAAAGGAUAACGAUUCUUCACCGUGAUGUCAUUCAAUCUCUGAUAGUCAAUACAGGGGCGCAGCAAACCAUCUUUCUUCUCCACGAAGAAGAACCCCACCCCAGCUGGAAAGGAAGAGGGGCGGAUGAUGUCUGCUUCCAGAGAAUUGUGUAUAUACCUCUCCAUUGCCAUCUCCAUCUCUGGUCCAGACAGAAAGUAAAGGUGCCCCUUAGGUGGAGAAGUGCCAGGCCUCUGCACAGUCAUACAGUCAUACAGGUGGUACAGAGGCAGAGAUGAAGCUCAGGACUUACUGAAAACUACUCUCAAGUCAUGGUAAACCUCUGGUACAUCCACCAGGCUCACCGGCUCCUCCUGCAACACAGAUAGAGACCAAACAGGGAAAAAUGCAGCACCCAAACACUGAGCUAAACAAAAAGGGCUAGGGUGUGGCCAGCUCGGAAUCCAUGAGAUCGACCUCCGAGACAGUCAGUGCAGACAACUGAUAAACAGCCCCCUUGAUCUGUAACAAGACUUGAAACUCUGAACAACCACCAGAUGGGAGUCGAGUAGUAGUGACGCUCUCCAUACUCUCUCUCUCUUGCAUGGUAAAUGUUGCCCCACUACAGGGAACAAAGCUUCCAUGUGUCCUGCCUUCCCACAGUAGAGACACAGCUGAUUAGCCAGGUGAUGACGUCACUCCCCCAUGGUCAGCCAUG